rnacentral:rRNA from 1 species
UGCAAGACGAACGGUAGAUUUGUAGCAAUACUAAUUGAGAGUGUCGUACGGGUGCGUAACACGUAUGCAAUCUACCCGCAACAGGAGGAUAGCUCCCCGAAAGGGGAAUUAACCCUCCAUAAGAUCACAGUGUGGCCUCACACAGUGAUUAAAACUGAGGUGGUUGCGGAUGAGCAUGCGUCUGAUUAGUUAGUUGGCGGGGUAACGGCCCACCAAGACGAUGAUCAGUAGGGGACCUGAGAGGGUGAUCCCCCACACUGGCACUGAGAUACGGGCCAGACUCCUACGGGAGGCAGCAGUAGGGAAUAUUGGACAAUGGGUGAGAGCCUGAUCCAGCCAUGCCGCGUGCAGGAAGACGGCCUUCUGGGUUGUAAACUGCUUUUAUUUGGGGAUAAAAAGGUCUUGCGAGACCAACUGAAGGUACCAGAUGAAUAAGCCACGGCUAACUACGUGCCAGCAGCCGCGGUAAUACGUAGGUGGCAAGCGUUGUCCGGAUUUAUUGGGUUUAAAGGGUGCGUAGGCGGCCCGUUAAGUCAGUGGUGAAAGACGGUAGCUCAACUAUCGAGGUGCCAUUGAUACUGACAGGCUUGAGUGCAGUCGAGGUAGGCGGAAUGGACGGUGUAGCGGUGAAAUGCAUAGAUAUCGUCCAGAACACCGAUAGUGAAGACAGCUUACCAAGCUGUAACUGACGCUGAGGCACGAAAGCGUGGGGAUCAAACAGGAUUAGAUACCCUGGUAGUCCACGCUGUAAACGUUGAUAACUCGCUG